rnacentral:rRNA from 1 species
AUGUAAGUUUUUGCAUGUGGUUUAAUUUAUUUUAAAAAUAAUUUAAUUUUAUAUUAUAAUUUCAGUAAUUAAUUUUAUAAAUCAAGGAGACUUGGAGAUAGUAAUUUCAUGGAGUAUUGGCUAAAUUUGUGCCAGCAGCUGCGGUUACACAAAUAAUACAAAUUAAAUUUUUCAAUGUUGGAGUUAAAAGUUUUUUUUAAAAAAUAAAUAUAUAUUUAUUAGGUGGAAUUUUAAAUUUUUAAUUUUUUUUUCAUGGUUUUUGAAGCUUAUAAAUUUUAAUUAAAAACUAGGAUUAGAUACCCUAUUAUUUAAAAUAUAAUUAUUAACAUUAAAGUAGUAUUAGUUAUGUUCUUGAAACUUAAAAAAUUUGGCGGUAUUUUAGUCUGUUCAGAGGAACCUGUCCUUUAAUCGAUAAUCCGCGAUGAACCUCACUUAAAUUUGUUAUCAGUUUAUAUACCGUCGUUAUUAGAAUAUUUUAUUAGAAUAGUAAUUUUCUAUAAUUUUAAUUAAAUUAUAUAUCAGAUCAAGGUGUAGCUUAUAUUUAAGUAGAGAUGGGUUACAAUAAACUUAUUUAAAUGGAUUUGAUGAUGAAAUAAAUUAAUGAAAGUGGAUUUGAUAGUAAAUUUUUAAAGAUUAAAUAUUUGAUUUUAGCUCUAAAAUAUGCACACAUCGCCCGUCGCUCUUUCUAUUAAAGUAAGAUAAGUCGUAACAUAGUAGAUGUA